GCUGGGCCCGGUGGUGCACGCCUGUAAUCCCAGCAGCUCCAGAGGCUGAGACAGGAGGAUCAUGAGUUCAAACCAGCCUCAGCAACUGCGAGGCUUCUAAGCAACUCAGUGAGACCCUGUCUCUA
rnacentral:sRNA from 1 species